rnacentral:rRNA from 1 species
UGCCAGACUCCUACGGGAGGCAGCAGUGGGGAAUAUUGCACAAUGGGGGAAACCCUGAUGCAGCAACGCCGCGUGAGUGAAGAAGUAUUUCGGUAUGUAAAGCUCUAUCAGCAGGGAAGAAAAUGACGGUACCUGACUAAGAAGCCCCGGCUAACUACGUGCCAGCAGCCGCGGUAAUACGUAGGGGGCAAGCGUUAUCCGGAUUUACUGGGUGUAAAGGGAGCGUAGACGGCAGUGCAAGUCCGGAGUGAAAGCCCGGGGCUCAACCCUGGGACUGCUCUGGAAACUGUAAAGCUGGAGUGCGGGAGGGGCAGGCGGAAUUCCUGGUGUAGCGGUGAAAUGCGUAGAUAUCAGGAGGAACACCGGCGGCGAAGGCGGCCUGCUGGACCGUAACUGACGUUGAGGCUCGAAAGCGUGGGGAGCAAACAGGAUUAGAUACCCGGGUA